CCUCUGAAGCACUCAGUUCUUUUCCCCAAGAUCUGUCAAAUAUGGCGUAGCUCCCAAAACAUUUAAUUCCCCAGACCACCUGGGAGAGUCCCACAAACCACUGGUGGUCCAUAGACCACAGUCUGAGUGCCGCUGUGUUAGGCUACUGCUUAAAGGAAAGGAAAUUAAACACAGAAAGCUGUUAAAAUGACAUUGCAUGUGAGUCAUGGCUCCACAUUAAGUAAUGUUCUUACAGAGCACUUGUCUUGUCCCCCUGGAUGAAAGCUCCCCACCUUCUGUCUCUAGUCUCUACCCCUUAGUAAUAAAUAUCAUGUUUUAUUAUUACAGGAAUGAAAGAAAUGCUAAUGCUUUGUCUGAGAAACAAUGAAGUGUUCGAAAUAGAAAUAUAAUGAGAGGUGUACGACUGAAUACAGCACUCAUAUUUCUGCUACUGACAUGCAAUGAAUUCUUUAAAUUUCCAUUGAAGCCCGUUUAAAUGAAAUUUGCCAAAGAACACUUCUUUUUCACAUUCUCCCUCUCCAAAGUGCACCCUAGUGCAACCAGACUCUGUCUUUGUUCACUUAAUAUUGGGCUAUAAGAAGCUUGCUUCAGCCCUGCCUGCUGACUGGUGGGGUCAUGUAGAGAAAGAGUCUAGCGGCCAGAAUUUCAUGCGGUUCCAUGUCUGAUUUUUAAGCCAUUUUUAAUGAGCUAAUUUUUAUGAUUGCAGACUCACUCAGGCUUUAAAAAAAAAAAAAAAAAAAAAAAGGAUUUAGAUAUGUGGAAAGGUUGCCAUGCAGCAAUUGGCCCAUUACUACUGCAGUCUAUUAUUCAUCUUUCGCUGUCAGAUUACAAAUAUUUCUCCCUCAAACCUUUAAAUCCCAGCUCUGAAGAUGCUUGACACAGAACUCAACCCUCCAGAUGACCACAAAAGAUGACUUUAUUUGGUACCCACCCACUUCCAGGUGUUGCGCCCAACACACCCUGCUAUUUUGCAGAGCUGCUGGUGAGAGGACAGCGUCUCCAUCCAGACGUCUCAGGUGGGGACUGAAAACCAUGAAACAGUAAAAAAAAUAAAAUAAAAAUAAAA
rnacentral:lncRNA from 1 species